rnacentral:rRNA from 1 species
UGAGGAAUAUUGGUCAAUGGCCGUAAGGCUGAACCAGCCAAGUCGCGUGAAGGAAGAAGGAUCUAUGGUUUGUAAACUUCUUUUAUAGGGGAAUAAAGGUAUCCACGUGUGGAUAUUUGCAUGUACCCUAUGAAUAAGCAUCGGCUAACUCCGUGCCAGCAGCCGCGGUAAUACGGAGGAUGCGAGCGUUAUCCGGAUUUAUUGGGUUUAAAGGGUGCGUAGGUUGUUUUUUAAGUCAGCGGUGAAAGUUUGUGGCUCAACCAUAAAAUUGCCGUUGAAACUGGAAGACUUGAGUGUGUUUGAGGUAGGCGGAAUGCGUGGUGUAGCGGUGAAAUGCAUAGAUAUCACGCAGAACUCCGAUUGCGAAGGCAGCUUACUAAGCCAUAACUGACACUGAAGC